AAGCAGAGCAAACCAUCAAAAGUUGACAAGAGCCAGGUAGAGUACUUCUUCUGCAAGAAGCUGGAUCAUUGAAAAAAGAAUUAUCCUACUUAUAUAGCUAUCCUUGACCUAAACAGGCCUAAGAACAAGAGAAAGAAGCAAUCGAUUGCUUCACAAGGUACUUAUAUGAUAAUUUCUUGUAAUUUUUUUAUUUGUGAUACUACUACCUGGGUAUUGG
rnacentral:lncRNA from 1 species